UGAAUGUGGAGCAGAAACUGUGACAGAUUUCCACACCUGUUUCCGUCCUCUAAAAGUUAACUUCCUAAAUGGUCAGAUUGCUUCUUUGCUCCUCUUGGAGCGCGCAGCAUCUUGAGCUUUCCGGGAAGCCGCACAAUGAGCGCGCACGAAGCGGCGUCACAUGAGAGGUCCCUUUAAGUUUCAGCUGAGUGAAACCUUGGUGCGUCACAUGGACAUAUUUAAUGAAAAUGCAAGAGCGCUGAGCCAGAGUGUGCACCAAGUUCUCAGCUGAUGAAGAACGAGGCGGAAAUAUACACAGUAAUUCUGCUGAGCGUGAAUGUGUGGAGCGAGACUGGUCGAUCCAAGCCGGGCCGGGCCGGGCCGGGCCGAGCCGGGCCGAGCCGAUCCAGAUUCACUGCGCCUCAUUGGAUGGGACCGCACCUGCCAGCUUUUGCACACGGUUAAAUACAGAGUGGGCCCGGAAAGAAAUAGCAGCAUUUAAUGUGAGGGAAGUUAUUUGUCAUUGCUGGACUGAGCGUCCCUGCUGCAGGUGCGUUUGCGCCCUGCUACCCUGCUGUAGGGACAACCCGCAUCUGUCGGCUUUCCCUUUUUGUCUUGCCGUUUUUGGGGGAAAUGCGCAGUCACCCGGCGGACUAAGAGCGUGAUAAGUGCUGAUCAUGGACCACAUAACUGGCUCCCUGACUUUGUGGUCGCCCGUGUCCGCAUUCCAGGUGGUGUUGCGCAGAUAGAAAUUGAACUUGGAGUAAACAACUGGGGGGAAAGCGUUUCUCUGAGGAGCUCCGAGGCGACGCUUCUGGCUGGUCUGGAAACAUCCUGCGACUCGUUGAAAGCGGCCGUGUGAAGACUUUUAAAGGGACAGUCACUCAAAGUUUGAAUGGGCCUAUAAAGAAGAAAUGUAUAAACGCUGUACAACCAGUAAGGUUUACAUCAAUGUUUUUUGGUGCAUUUUUACAAAUUAGAAUGUUAACAUAGUUUUUUCUGUAAAUAAAAAAAUUUAACUCAUCAUUCAUCAUGAA